GGCUGUCCCAAGCUGACCGUGGGAAGCUAGCUACGGUCAGGGCUGUGGAGUCCUUGGAUGGGAGACCACCAAGGAAUCCCAGGGUGUAGCCU
rnacentral:rRNA from 1 species